AAGUCGUAACAAGGUCUUCGUAGGUGAACCUGCGAAGGGAUCAUUAACACGUUCCAAACCUAUUAUCAACCCAUCUGUGAACUUUUGUUACCGCCGAUAUGGCUGACUACGAGUGUAUGGCGCAUACGAGUGACUCUACGAUGUGAGGUGUAAAACGAGUAUCUAAACAUUACCCGUUCUAUGCCUGGUCUAGUAUGCCUUGUGUUCUGCUCCACUUUCGAGUGCAGUAGAACAGCGAUCCUUGUUGUUCAGUCCGGCCUUAUAUAUGCGCUUCCGCAGUCGUCAUCUGCUGUCGACUCG
rnacentral:misc_RNA from 1 species